AUACGAAGGGCCCGAGCGUUAAUCAGAAUCAUUGGGCUUAAAGCGUACGUAGGCGGGCGCGCAGGCACCUUGUGAAAUCCCUCGGCUCAACCGAGGAAUUGCUUGGUGAACCGCGCGCCUUGAGACAAGUAGGGGCUGUCGGAACGAUAGGUGGAGCGGUGAAAUGCGUUGAUAUCUAUCGGAACGCCGAAGGAGAAAUCAGGCAGCUGGGCUUGUUCUGACGCUGAGGUACGAAAGCGUGGGGAGCGAACGGGAUUAGAUACCCCAGUAGUCC
rnacentral:rRNA from 1 species